UCCCCUCCUUGCCCAGAGCCUUCCCAAGGGGCGGGGCCGCGGCUCCCCAUCCCCCCCAUUGGAUUCAGCCUGCGAUGAGAGGGGGCGGGGCCAAAACCUCUACGCAUUCUCGGAAAGAGGUGGGCGGAGAACGCAUUGCACCUCCUUCGGCUCUGUCGUUGGACUCGAUCAGCCUGCGGGGAGAAGGGGGCGGUCCAGUGUUUUUUUUUCUGCAUCUUCAUCAUCAUCCCCAAACUUGGAAUGACUUUCCUGAGCUGGUCUGGACUGCAACCUCAGAGCCCUUCUGAAGACCAGUUCUUGGUGGUGAGAGGAGGUGAAAGUUUAGCUCCCUCCUUGUCAAUUCAAGUUCCACAAGAAAACACAGGAGUGAUUUCCUGAAGAUCUUCUGAGCUCUGCAGAAGUGAGGCCCCUUCCCAUCCCAGGACAGAGCCUCUGCCUGGUUUACAAGCACUGCAGCUGUUAAACUUGAGGUGUUCCUAAGCCUUGCUCUUCCCCAGCAUUUGCCAUCCCAUUAUUUUUAACUCACCAGACUAAGCGAAUGGAUCUCUUGGGGAUUGCCCCAGGGAAAUGCAUUUGUAACAAAUUUUGCCAGACCCACUGACAGGAGGAGGCAAAGGGAGCAGUUGCCCAGGGCCCACCAAUUCAAAGGAGCCCAGGGCUCCUGGCCACCUCUGUUGCUACUGAGGCAGCAGUGGCAGCUGGAUCCCCAGGCCCUUUAAAUCAUUGCCAAAGCCCCACACAGUGCGUUCCGAGCUGUGCUGAGGGUGGAGGGUGGGGACGCUGUGCUCU